GACGAACGCUGGCGGCGUGCCUAAUACAUGCAAGUCGAGCGAGACUCUUCGGAGUCUAGCGGCGGACGGGUGAGUAACACGUGGGCAACCUGCCUGUAAGACUGGGAUAACACCGGGAAACCGGUGCUAAUACCGGAUAAUCCUUUUCUUCUCAUGAGGAACAGCUGAAAGUCGGUUUCGGCUGACACUUACAGCUGGGCCCGCGGCGCAUUAGCUAGUUGGUGAGGUAACGGCUCACCAAGGCGACGAUGCGUAGCCGACCUGAGAGGGUGAUCGGCCACAAGGGGACUGAGCCACGGCCCAGACUCCUACGGGAGGCAGCAGUAGGGAAUCUUCCACAAUGGACGAAAGUCUGAUGGAGCAACGCCGCGUGAGUGAAGAAGGUUUUCGGAUCGUAAAACUCUGUUGUCAGGGAAGAACAAGUACCAUAGUAACUGAUGGUACCUUGACGGUACCUGACCAGAAAGCCACGGCUAACUACGUGCCAGCAGCCGCCGUAACAC
rnacentral:rRNA from 1 species